CCUACGGGUGGCAGCAGUGAGGAAUAGUGGUCAAUGGGCGCUAGCCUGAACCAGCCAAGUAGCGUGAAGGAUGACUGCCCUAUGGGUUGUAAACUUCUUUUAUAUGGGAAUAAAGUGCAGUAGGUAUACUGCUUUGCAUGUACCUUAUGAAUAAGGAUAGGCUAACCCCGUGCCAGCAGCCGCGGUAAUACGGAGGAGCCGAGCGUUAUCCGGAUUUAUUGGGUUUAAAGGGAGCGUCGGCGGGUUGUUAAGGCAGUUGUGAAUGUUUGCGGCUCAACCGUAAAAUUGCAGUUGAUACGGGCAUCCUUGAGUACAGUAGAGGUAGGCGGCAUUCGUGGUGUAGCGGUG
rnacentral:rRNA from 1 species